GGUGACAGAGUGAGAGAGGGGGUGACUAGUGACCGAGUGAGGGAGGGAGUGGGUGACUAGUGACAGAGUGAGGAAGGGGGUGACACAGUGAUAGUCACCCCAUUCCUCCCUCUGUCACUAAUCACCACCUCCCUCACUCUCACUAGUCACCCCUUCCCUCUCUCACUCUGUCACUAGUCACACCCUCCCUCUCUCUGUCACUAGUCACACCCUUACUGUCACUAGUCACACCCUUACUCACUGUCACUAGUCACAC